GACGAACGCUGGCGGCGUGCUUAACACAUGCAAGUCGAACGGAAAGGCCCUGCUUUUGUGGGGUGCUCGAGUGGCGAACGGGUGAGUAACACGUGAGUAACCUGCCCUUGACUUUGGGAUAACUUCAGGAAACUGGGCCUAUUACCGGAUAGGAGCUCUUCCUGCAUGGUGGGGUUUGUAAGUUUUCGGCGGUUGGGGAUGGACUCGCGGCUUAUCAGCUUGUUGGUGGGGUAGUGGCUUACCAAGGCUUUGACGGGUAGCCGGCCUGAGAGGGUGACCGGCCACAUUGGGACUGAGAUACGGCCCAGACUCCUACGGGAGGCAGCAGUGGGGAAUAUUGCACAAUGGGCGGAAGCUUGAUGCAGCAACGCCGCGUGCGGGAUGACGGCCUUCGGGUUGUAAACCGCUUUCGCCUGUGACGAAGCGUGAGUGACGGUAAUGGGUAAAGAAGCACCGGCUAACUACGUG
rnacentral:rRNA from 1 species